rnacentral:rRNA from 1 species
GACGAACGCUGGCGGCGUGCCUAAUACAUGCAAGUAGAACGCUGAAGAGAGGAGCUUGCUCUUCUUGGAUGAGUUGCGAACGGGUGAGUAACGCGUAGGUAACCUGCCUUGUAGCGGGGGAUAACUAUUGGAAACGAUAGCUAAUACCGCAUAACAAUGGAUGACACAUGUCAUUUAUUUGAAAGGGGCAAUUGCUCCACUACAAGAUGGACCUGCGUUGUAUUAGCUAGUAGGUGAGGUAAUGGCUCACCUAGGCGACGAUACAUAGCCGACCUGAGAGGGGGAUCGGCCACCCUGGGACUGGGACACGGCCCAGACUCCUACGGGAGGCAGCAGUAGGGAAACUUCGGCAAUGGGGGCAACCCUGACCGAGCAACGCCGCGUGAGUGAAGAAGGUUUUCGGAUCGUAAAGCUCUGUUGUAAGUCAAGAACGGGUGUGAGAGUGGAAAGUUCACACUGUGACGGUAGCUUACCAGAAAGGGACGGCUAACUACGUG